rnacentral:rRNA from 1 species
GCUUGCUCCGCUGACGAGUGGCGAACGGGUGAGUAAUAUAUCGGAACGUACCCAAGAGUGGGGGAUAACGUAGCGAAAGUUACGCUAAUACCGCAUACGAUCUAUGGAUGAAAGUGGGGGAUCGCAAGACCUCAUGCUCCUGGAGCGGCCGAUAUCUGAUUAGCUAGUUGGUGAGGUAAAGGCUCACCAAGGCGACGAUCAGUAGCUGGUCUGAGAGGACGACCAGCCACACUGGAACUGAGACACGGUCCAGACUCCUACGGGAGGCAGCAGUGGGGAAUUUUGGACAAUGGGCGCAAGCCUGAUCCAGCAAUGCCGCGUGAGUGAAGAAGGCCUUCGGGUUGUAAAGCUCUUUUGUCAGGGAAGAAACGGUAGAGGCUAAUAUCCUUUGCUAAUGACGGUACCUGAAGAAUAAGCACCGGCUAACUACGUGCCAGCAGCCGCGGUAAUACGUAGGGUGCAAGCGUUA